rnacentral:rRNA from 1 species
CCUACGGGAGGCAGCAGUGGGGAAUAUUGCACAAUGGGGGAAACCCUGAUGCAGCGACGCCGCGUGAGUGAAGAAGUAUUUCGGUACGUAAAGCUCUAUCAGCAGGGAAGAAAAUGACGGUACCUGACUAAGAAGCCCCGGCUAACUACGUGCCAGCAGCCGCGGUAAUACGUAGGGGGCAAGCGUUAUCCGGAUUUACUGGGUGUAAAGGGAGCGUAGACGGCAGCGCAAGUCUGGAGUGAAAUCCCAUGGCUUAACCAUGGAACUGCUUUGGAAACUGUGCAGCUAGAGUGCAGGAGAGGUAAGCGGAAUUCCUAGUGUAGCGGUGAAAUGCGUAGAUAUUAGGAGGAACACCAGUGGCGAGGCGGCUUACUGGACUGUAACUGACGUUGAGGCUCGAAAGCGUGGGGAGCAAACAGGAUUAGAUACCCCAGUAGUC